rnacentral:rRNA from 1 species
ACGAACGCUGGCAGCACGCUUAACACAUGCAAGUCGAACGAGAGAAGAGGAGCUUGCUUUUCUGAUCUAGUGGCGGACGGGUGAGUAACACGUGAGCAAUCUGCCUUUCAGAGGGGGAUACCGAUUGGAAACGAUCGUUAAUACCGCAUAACAUAAUUGAACCGCAUGAUUUGAUUAUCAAAGAUUUAUCGCUGAAAGAUGAGCUCGCGUCUGAUUAGCUAGUUGGUAAGGUAACGGCUUACCAAGGCGACGAUCAGUAGCCGGACUGAGAGGUUGAUCGGCCACAUUGGGACUGAGACACGGCCCAGACUCCUACGGGAGGCAGCAGUGGGGAAUAUUGCACAAUGGAGGAAACUCUGAUGCAGCGAUGCCGCGUGAGGGAAGAAGGUUUUAGGAUUGUAAACCUCUGUCUUCAGGGACGAAAAAAGACGGUACCUGAGGAGGAAGCUCCGGCUAACUACGUGCCAGCAGCCGCGGUAAUACGUAGGGAGCGAGCGUUGUCCGGAAUUACUGGGUGUAAAGGGAGCGUAGGCGGGAUCGCAAGUCAGAUGUGAAAACUAUGGGCUUAACCCAUAAACUGCAUUUGAAACUGUGGUUCUUGAGUGAAGUAGAGGUAAGCGGAAUUCCUAGUGUAGCGGUGAAAUGCGUAGAUAUUAGGAGGAACAUCAGUGGCGAAGGCGGCUUACUGGGCUUUAACUGACGCUGAGGCUCGAAAGCGUGGGGAGCAAACAGGAUUAGAUACCCUGGUAGUCCACGCCGUAAACGAUGAUUACUAGGUGUGGGGGGACUGACCCCUUCCGUGCCGCAGCAAACGCAAUAAGUAAUCCACCUGGGGAGUACGACCGCAAGGUUGAAACUCAAAGGAAUUGACGGGGGCCCGCACAAGCAGUGGAGUAUGUGGAUUAAUUCGAAGCAACGCGAAGAACCUUACCAGGUCUUGACAUCGUAUGCAUAGCUCAGAGAUGAGUGAAAUCUCUUCGGAGACAUAUAGACAGGUGGUGCAUGGUUGUCGUCAGCUCGUGUCGUGAGAUGUUGGGUUAAGUCCCGCAACGAGCGCAACCCUUACUGUUAGUUGCUACGCAAGAGCACUCUAGCAGGACUGCCGUUGACAAAACGGAGGAAGGUGGGGAUGACGUCAAAUCAUCAUGCCCCUUAUGACCUGGGCCUCACACGUACUACAAUGGCUGUCAACAGAGGGAUGCAAAGCCGCGAGGUGGAGCGAACCCCUAAAAGCAGUCUUAGUUCGGAUUGUAGGCUGCAACCCGCCUACAUGAAGUCGGAAUUGCUAGUAAUCGCAGAUCAGCAUGCUGCGGUGAAUACGUUCCCGGGCCUUGUACACACCGCCCGUCACGCCAUGGGAGUCGGUAACACCCGAAGCCUGUAGUCUAACCGCAAGGAGGACGCAGUCGAAGGUGGGAUUGAUGACUGGGGUG